UACGUAGGAGGCGAGCGUUGUCCGGAAUUACUGGGCGUAAAGAGCGCGUAGGCGGCGCUGUACGACCCGUGUGAAAGCCCCGGGCUCAACCUGGGAAUGGCAAUGGAUACUGGCAGGCUAGAGUGCGGUAGAGGGUAGUGGAAUUCCCGGUGUAGCGGUGAAAUGCGUUGAUAUCAUCAGGAACUCCGGGUGGCGAAGGCGAGGUGCUGGACCUUUUCUGACGCUGAGGCGCGAAAGCCAGGGGAGCGAACAGG
rnacentral:rRNA from 1 species